GGGACCGGGGGCGGGGCGGUCCAGGGGUUCUCCCUCUGCAGCGCUCCCCCUCCAGGAAAUGCGGCUGGAAUCCGGUUAAUGAAUAAUCUAGAGGCGACGUGACGGGACUUUCAAGGGGCUCCAGGCGGCGCCAGAACCGGGUGCCGAGGCUCGCUGCCGCAAGGAGGGACCGUCAGAACCUGUCUGCAGCCCCGGGGCCCUAGGGGCUGCGUUCCCCCCGCAGGAACGCAGCCCUCUGUUGUCCUAACAGGGGUCGAGGUCUGUGAGCGCGGGACCCGGGCGCGGCCCGGCCCACCCCGGGCGCGCCGGGCCCGCCGCUGGGAGGAGGGCGCCUCCUGCUGCCGCACUGCCUUAAGUUCGGUCCACGCCGCUCCAGUCCCUAGACAGCGCUGCUCCGCCUGGGUCUGUUGCGGCGGGGAGAUUGAAGUCCAGGUUAGAGCCUGGAGCCGCUGAAGACCGAGGGGACCAGAGUGGGACCCCUCACCCCAGCCAGCUGCAGGUCUCUGAGCCAGAAGCACAAGACCUCAGAAGAAGCCCGUCCAGUGAAGGUCCCCGCUCCUGGGGUGGGGGGAGGUUCAGGGAGGACGGCUGCGCCGAGGGUCGUUGCUCACACUUGCCAAGUUGCCACUGAAAACGGGCUGAGGCGGCAUCCAGGACACAGGCUGGAGCCAGGAGGCCAUGCUAGGCACUCAGGUGCUGCUUCUGCACGCAGUGUCUCUGACACAGUGGGUGGGGGGUGGAGGUUGCGGCCCAGAUAUGGACCCCCACAGACCAAAAGAGAGCUUCUGUUUCUCCAGCCAAAUCUCCUGUGUGGGUGCAGGGCUGAGGUCUGAGCGCUGCCAUCCUUGGACUCAAGAGGUGCAGACCCUACUGUGCUCACUUUGUACCCAUGUCCUGGCUGAGGCAGCCUGUGGGUCCUUUGUUGGUAACUUGGUUUAGGGGGAAAUUAGAGAAAGAAGUGUCUGGUGAGCAAAGGAAUGCACCUUAUAUCAAUUAAGUUUUCCCCAUCUGGGAAAAGCUCUUCCCUCUGGACAGUGUGAGCCCCAAUCCAGGUGUCCCUCAUCUGCUGCCCAUGGGUUCUCCAUUAAGGGGAGCCCGGAAGAAGGUGUGCUUGGUGGCCCUAGGCUCUUUCUGCAUCUUGCCACAAGUCCUGAUCACCUGAUCCUCUCUGAACCCUACAGCAGGUCUGAGGGUCUGAAAGAUGGGGCUGCUCAAGAAGGGAUGAAGGUAGACACAGAGUACAGGAUCUCCCUUUGUCAUCCAUGCUAGAGUGCAGUGGUGUCAUCAGAGGUCACUGCAGCCUUGAACUCCUAGGUUUAAGUGAUUCUCCUACCUCAGCCUCCGAGGCAGCUGGGACUACAGGUGAAAAGGGAACAGGGAAAUCAACACAGAAGCCAUUACAUUAUAAGAGUUGUCUGUUUCACAGAGUUGUCAAGAAUUUUAUGGUUCAAGGUGGUGACUUCAGUGAAGGAAAUGGAUGAGGAGGGGACUCUAUUUAUGGAGGAUUUUUUGAAGAUGAGAGUUUUACUGUUAAACACAACAAAGAAUUUCUCUUAUCAAUGGCCAAUAGAGGGAAGGAUACAAAUGGCUCACAGUUCUUCGUAACAACAAAACCUACUCCUCAUUUAGAUGGGCAUCAUGUUGUAUUUGGGCAAGUGAUCUCUGGUCAAGAAGUUGUAAGAGAGAUAGAAAACCAGAAAACAGAUGCAGCUAGCAAACCAUUUGCUGAGGUACGGAUACUCAGUUGUGGAGAGCUAAUUCCCAAAUCUAAAGUUAAGAAAGAAGAAAAGAAAAGGCAUAAGUCAUCAUCAUCUUCUUUGUCUUCAUCCAGUGACUCAGAUAGCUCAAGCGAUUCUCAGUCUUCUGAUUCUUCAGAUUCUGAAAGUGCUUCUGAAGAGAAAUAAAAGAAAAAAGAAACAUAGGGAAAAUUCCUGAAAACACAAGAAAGAAAAGAAGCAAAAGAAAAGCAAGAAAAGUGCAUCAAGUGAAAUUGAGGCUGAAAAUCUUGAAGCACAACCUCAGUCUACUGUCUGUCCAGAAGAAAUCCCCUCUAUACCUGAAAAUAGGUUCCUAAUGAGAAAGAGUCUUCCUAAAGCUGAUGAAAAGUAAAGGAAAAACAGAGAACAAGAGAGAGAAAGAGAGUGUAAUCCACCUAACUCCCAGCCAGCUUCCUACCAGAGAUGACUUUUAGUAACUAGAUCUGGCAGAAAAAUUAAAGGAAGAGGACCAAGGCAUUAUCGAACCCCUUCCAGGUCCAGAUCAAGGGAUCGUUUCAGAUGUAGUGAGACUCCUCCACAUUUGAGGCAAGAGAUGCACAGAGAGCUCAAAGAAUGAGGAUAUCAAGUGGUGAAAGAUGGAUCAAAGGGGAUGAGAGUGAGUUGAAUGAAAUAAAAGAAAAUCAAAGAAGCCCAGUUAGAGUAAAAGAGAGAAAAAUAACUGAUCACAAGCAUGUGUCUGAGAGUCCAAACAGAAAAAGUGAAAAGGAAAAGAAAGUUAAAGACCAUAAAUCUAACAGCAAAGAGAGAGAGACAUCAGAAGAAAUUCAGAAAAAGAUGAUAAAUAUAAUAAAAACAAAGUGAAGAAAAGGGUGAAAUCUAAAAGUAGGAGUAAGGGCAAAGAGAAAUCAAAGAGUAAGGAAAGAGAGUCAAAACAUAAUAGACAUGAAGAAAAGAGGAUGAGGUCAAGAAGAAAGGGAUCAUGAGAAUGUUAAAGAAAAAGAAAAAGUCUGACUCUAAAGGAAAAGAUCAGGAAAGGAGUAGAAGUAAAGAAAAGUCUAAACAGAAUCAAAAAGUAACGAGCAUGAUUACAAUAAAGGUAAGAAAAAGGAUAGACGUGCACAGUGCAGGAGUAGAGAAUGUGACAUAACUAAAGGUAAACACAGUUACAAUAGUAGAACCAGGGAACGGAGCAGAAGCAGGGACAGGAACAGAAGAGUGUGAUCUAGAAGCCGGUACAGAGAUCGCAGCAGAAGCAAGGAGUACCACAGACACAGAGAACAGGAGUACAGAAGAAGAGGACCGUCAUGAAGCCGGGAGAGAAGAGCAGGGAAGAUCAAGAACUAAAGAUAGGAAGAGAAGGAGGAGAGAUUCACGGAGCUCAGAGAGAGAAGAAAGGCAAAGCAGAAACAAAGAAAAGUACAGAAAUGAAGAAAGUAAGAGUUCUUACAGAAAAGAAAAUUCUGAGGGUGAGAAAAGAAUGUACUCUAAAAAUCGUGAUCAUAAUAGCUCAAGUAAUAGCAGGGGGAAAAAGGCUGACAGAGAUCAAAGUCCAUUCUCAAAAAUAAAACAAAGCAGUCAGGAGAAUGAAUUAAAGUCCUCCACAUUAAAAAAUAGGAUGAGAAAACCAGAUCCUCAGUGGAAAAAGAAAACUAAAAAUCCAAGGGUCAAGAAAAUGACCACGUACAUGAUAAAAAUAAAAAAUUUGAUCAUGAAUCAAGCUCUGGAACAGAUGAAGACAAAAGUGGAUGAGUGAACUGGGUAAAUUUAUUUCCAUUCUGUCUAAAAUUUUAAGUUUUAGAGACUUGCCUAUGAAUCUCCUUUAUGUUAUUUUCCCUUUCAUUGUUUUUGGGUUGUGUUUGUCUUUUUUUUUUUUCUAAUGUGAAUUUCAUUGAAUUGACCUUUUGAUAAUCUGCCAUCUGGAUAAGUUGUA